rnacentral:rRNA from 1 species
UACGGAGGAUCCAAGCGUUAUCCGGAUUUAUUGGGUUUAAAGGGUGCGUAGGUGGGCAGGUAAGUCAGUGGUGAAAUCUUUGGGCUUAACCCGAAAACUGCCAUUGAUACUAUUUGUCUUGAAUAUUGUGGAGGUCAGCGGAAUAUGUCAUGUAGCGGUGAAAUGCUUAGAUAUGACAUAGAACACCAAUUGCGAAGGCAGCUGGCUACACGAAUAUUGACACUCAGGCACGAAAGCGUGGGGAUCAAACAGG